rnacentral:rRNA from 1 species
CCUACGGGGGGCAGCAGUGAGGAAUAUUGGUCAAUGGGCGUAAGCCUGAACCAGCCACGUCGCGUGAGGGAUGAAGGUUCUAUGGAUCGUAAACCUCUUUUAUAAGGGAAUACAGUGUGGGACGUGUCCUAUUUUGUAUGUACCUUAUGAAUAAGGAUCGGCUAACUCCGUGCCAGCAGCCGCUGUAAUACGGAGGAUACGAGCGUUAUCCGGAUUUAUUGGGUUUAAGGGGUGCGUAGGCGGCCUUUUAAGUCAGCGGUGAAAGUCUGUGGCUCAACCAUAGAAUUGCCGUUGAAACUGGGGGGCAUGAGUAUGUUUGAGGCAGGCGGAAUGCGUGGUGUAGCGGUGAAAUGCUUAGAUAUCACGCAGAACUCCGAUUGCGAAGGCAGCUUACUAAACUAUAACUGACACUGAAGCACGAAAGCGUGGGGAUCAAACAGGAUUAGAUACCCGGUAGUC